UACGGAGGAUCCAAGCGUUAUCCGGAUUUAUUGGGUUUAAAGGGUGCGUAGGCGGCCUAUUAAGUCAGGGGUGAAAGACGGUAGCUUAACUAUCGCAGUGCCCUUGAUACUGAUGGGCUUGAAUAUACUUGAGGUAGGCGGAAUGUGACAAGUAGCGGUGAAAUGCAUAGAUAUGUCACAGAACACCAAUUGCGAAGGCAGCUUACUAAGGUAUGAUCGACGCUGAGGCACGAAAGCGUGGGGAUCAAACAGG
rnacentral:rRNA from 1 species